rnacentral:misc_RNA from 1 species
AACCUAGCACACCUGCGGUGUGUACCUGCGGAAGGAUCAUUACCUAGAGUUGUAGGCUUUGCCUGCUAUCUCUUACCCAUGUCUUUUGAGUACCUUACGUUUCCUCGGUGGGUUCGCCCGCCGGUUGGACAAAACUUAAACCCUUUGUAGUUGCAAUCAGCGUCUGAAAAAACUUAACAGUUACAACUUUCAACAACGGAUCU